UGGGGAAUAUUGGACAAUGGGCGAAAGCCUGAUCCAGCAAUGCCGCGUGAGUGAUGAAGGCCUUAGGGUUGUAAAGCUCUUUUACCCGGGAUGAUAAUGACAGUACCGGGAGAAUAAGCCCCGGCUAACUCCGUGCCAGCAGCCGCGGUAAUACGGAGGGGGCUAGCGUUGUUCGGAAUUACUGGGCGUAAAGCGCACGUAGGCGGCUUUGUAAGUUAGAGGUGAAAGCCCAGGGCACAACCCUGGAAUUGCCUUUAAGACUGCAUCGCUUGAAUCAUGGAGAGGUGAGUGGAAUUCCGAGUGUAGAGGUGAAAUUCGUAGAUAUUCGGAAGAACACCAGUGGCGAAGGCGACUCACUGGACAUGUAUUGACGCUGAGGUGCGAAAGCGUGGGGAGCAAACAGGGUUAGAUACCCUGGUAGUCCACGCCGUAAACGAUGAUGACUAGCUGUCGGGGCGCUUGGCGUUUCGGUGGCGCAGCUAACGCGUUAAGUCAUCCG
rnacentral:rRNA from 1 species